GAGGGAAAGUAGAGGGUGCUGUGUAUACCAAAGAACUUAAUCAUAUGGGAGUGAGGGCCAGGGACCAUCAGGAAAGGCUUAGCAAGGAAGUAACGUUUAGCCUGAAAUCUGAAGGAUGAUUACUAGGAGUGGCUCAGGCCAAGAAUGGGGUGAAAGGGCCAAAGGGAGAAGCAUGUGCAAAGAUCCUUAGGCAGAUUGGAGCAUAAGCAAUGCUGAAGAAGAAAGAAGGCUCUUGUGGUCUCACACUCUUGAGCUCAAGUGAUCCUCCCAUCUCAGCCUCCCAAAGUGCUGGGAUUACAGGCAUGAGCCACUAUGCCCAGCCUCAGUAGCUUUUUGAUACAUGGUAGAUAAAUUUUUUUGAACUUUCAGGUCUAGGCCGGGCACGGUGGCUCAUGCCCGUAAUCCCAGCACUUUGGGCGG
rnacentral:lncRNA from 10 species